GUUCUGCUCCCGUCCAAGAGGGAGCCUGAGGCAGAGCUCACAGCGCAUGCUCCAUCCCGGGCCGCUGGAAGCGCAAAAGUGGCCGCGCUCGGCGGGGGCGGAGUCUCCUGACAAUUCCCUGCCGCCCGCUGCUCUGAUUGGCGGCUGCAGUAGCCUGGGCGGGUCCAGGCGUCUGUCCUAAAGGCGUGGGGGGCUCGUCACCCCCUCCAAGGCUCGUCCCAGCUCUCGGGCCCGCCGCGGUCCCUGCAGCUUUGGACACCGACCUGGUAGGACGGCUCCGAGGCUCUCUCUCCUUUCAUUUCACUUUCUUCUGGAGCUGACACAUUUGAAUCCUGCCCCAUCACUCCGAAUGAAAAUGUGGUUCUUUGGGUGGGUGGUCUCGUUGAUCCUCGGGACUGUGCAUUGCCAGCAGCCCAGAGGGAAACUGACAACUGUGGAUCCUGAAGCAUAUAUGAAUGUGGUAAGUGCUCAAAGUUACCUGUUUUAAAAUGCAUUUGUGACAAGCGUUAUUUCCUUAAAUCCAAUUGUGUCGCCUAAGUUUUGCCACCAACUCUAAUCUCCAUCUAUCCCAUAUGCUUUUUACUAUCUCUGAAUCUUAGAUUCAGUUUGCUAAAUUUUUAUUUUAACCAGGUAAUAUGUUUUCACAAACCUUCUUUUAUUGUUAAGACUAGAUGUUGUAGAAUUUGAGAGAGCUUCAAUUAUUUGCAUAUAGAGAGGCCAGAAUUCAAGAAUGAUUUUGAGAAGGAAAAAUGGUUUAUUGAUGGCCGGCCAGACUCAGGAGCUUUCCAUUUCUAUUCCAAGCCCCAAAAAAGACUUUCGAGUUUCUUUUAUAUAGAUAGGAAAGGUUAAAUGGUUCCUUUGUUUCAGUUUUCAAUAGGCUUGUAUUAGCUUAUAAAGUUUUCACAUCUUAGGUAAGCUUUUAGCAUGGACUUCAUACAUUCUAGAUAAGCUUUUAGCAUAUUUGGUUUGCAUUUCCCCUGAAUACUUAAAGUUUAUAGACUGCAUUGUUACACUGUUUCCUGGGACUGGAGUCGUUGGCAUGGUCACCAAGGGCAGGACUACAGCCUCUUACCAUCUCACACCCACAAGUCAGAGAGCUUAGGUCAUCUCUGAAGAGACAAAGAGCCUCCCACCCAUAGCCCACAUCAUUUUCCCCCUUUGCCAAAGUUUAACUUGCUAGCUUUGGCAUAAUUAUAGUUGGAACUAUGAGGUGGAUGGCUGUUUGUUGUAUUGAUUGAUUAUUUAUCAGUCUUUAGUGUAGCAUCCAGGACUGUUUUUAGAUGUUUAGAAGUUUUCAUUCUGGACAGCAGAAUCCUGGGGCAGGAGUCCCCCUGCAGUUAUCUUAGGGCCACCAGCGCUCACGUGGAUUUCCAGUCAGGUUCCAGAUCCAUCUAUUAAUUUUAUUUUACCCUUAAAGAGUUUACACCUUUAAUCUAAAAGGGUUGCUGAAGGGAGAUGAUCUCUUUUUUGUAACUGCUUCUUGCUGGCCAUGGGCUGUACUCAUUGCCUAACAAGGUGUAAAACUUAUUUUAUUUUAACUGGAGUAAGAUGAAUCUGGCAUUCUGUACGAAGUUGGAUGACGUUUUCAUAUGGUUAAUAAGAUGUUCACUCUGAAAGAAACAAACAAUUAAAAAUUUGGAAUACCCGUUUUUAAAAGAGGACAUUGGAUUACAGAGGUAGACAAAGUUAGGUGCUUAUAAAGAUGGCACUCCUUUUUAAAAGCUAGUGGGAACACUAUAUAUAUACUUUUUCUAAGUUAUUUAUCUUUAGAAAUUGCAAUAGAUACUUAGCUUUGUUGGAAGACACAUUUCAAGCUGUUUAAUGAUUGGCACUCAUGUGCUCUGUUAGAUGCUCCAGGUGAACUGGCACC
ensembl:lincRNA